rnacentral:lncRNA from 1 species
UAACAUAAAUUAUGAAAACACAUUAAAACAUAAAAAUAAUCAAAGCAAACCGAAGAAAUGCUUAAGUACAAACAUGAAAGAACGUGCAUCAAAAUGCACUGAUCAAAUUCCCCCACACUUGAACUUUUGCACUCCGAGCAAAAUGAAAAACAAAACAAAAAACACCGACACAUCAACGGUUACUCAUUCUAGGCUACAAGUCAUCUUCGGUUAAGUUUGCUUCGAUGGGUACUAAUCUUGCACACUAAGGACAUUGUAAGAACACUAAUCCACCGUUAUGCAGACCUAAACCUCCUGAAUACACAAAUCAACUCGAAUCAUGUUAUUAUAUUAAAGCCUAACUUACUCAUCCUUCUUUGGCUCUUUUUCAUUCAGGCGCAAUCACAUUAAGCCCGUUGUCUCCGCACACUCAUAGCAAGACGACCGGUUAGUGACUCUGAUCCUUUUAUGCACGGGGUUCUGGUACUUAAGUGGCAUAACCCUUUGCUUAUUCAGUUGUAGUUGCGGGGGAUCGGACCGUAAUCCGCCCUACCAAGUUCAGCACCAGAAACCGCUGAAUCAACUGACAAAAAAAAUUUUUUUGAAGGUUCUACAUCCGUUGGGUUAAGUGACCGGGUGAGGGUUACCAAACUUAGAAGGUGCAUUCCUUUAUUUUUUCUCUUUUCUUUUUCUUUUUCGGAACACUCACUUAUAUUCAUCGGCUUCCCUGCGUAGAGUGUGUGUGAGAUGGUGCUGACUGCUGAAAUAAACUACUCAAGGAGCGUCUAAGAAUGAAAUAAGGUCUAAAACAUAAUAAAUCAAUCAAUUUCCAUAUGCAGGAUAGACUUACUGUGUUAAAACAAUACCGUUUGUGAAAUUUGCUCCAAGUCUCCGCAACUAAUCUGCAAUUAUUCUAUAAGCCUAAAACUUUUCAACAAAACUGCAAUUUUUUUUUAGAAAGAAAACAAAAACAAAACAAAACAAAGAACAAAAAUCAAAGAAAACAAAGCAUUCCCUCUCCCAUUCACUUAAAAAUUAUGCAUUCCCAUGAAGAAACACAUAAAUUAAGAGAGAGAAGAGAGAGGAAUAACACCCGAUGUAGUCAAGGAGGAUAGGUGAUUAGCACAUAAGCAUCAGCCGUUCCGCAAGAGAUAUCAUUCCUAAACAUUUUGGCUCUUCAAUAGUGGGGCUGUCUGGGAAUACCCUUUGGAUAAGUCCUUGACUUGAAUUUUAUAGAUCUUCGCCUUUUAUUCUCAGGAUCGAAGAAUCUUUAAAAAGUAAAGCAUGUCAUAAUGAGACACGUUGCAAAGUGAUACGAUUCUGGAAUGUCAGGCGCAUGUCCAACCAAAAUGCCUUUAUGCUUCCUUAAAACCUGCAAAGCUUAAUUUCUUAGAUCGAAUCAAGAUUAAAACGAAAUUAUAGCCUGGAGUUUUCAUUCUCUUAAUAAGCAAUUUCAUAUUUCAUGGAAGUGCUCAGCUCGAGGGAAGCACUGGUUGCUCAAUAGAAGGACGUGUUGGGGCAGCCGGAUGUCACGAGCCUUUAUCUACAGAACAACUUUUUAUUGGCAACCUCAUCUGGCAGUAAGAUAUUCAACUUGCAAAGGCAGGCCUCAAUUUCAGCACAAGACGAGCAAUUUAGUUUCUAAUGUAAAGCAAAAUCACAAUGAAUAAACAUCAUCAAACCAGACAAAUGAUGAGAAUCAGUCAUGCAUUAACAAAUAUAACUACAAGUAUCGAUCAACAUUUAGAAAUCAAAAUCUAUUUAAAAUAGAAUGUUCUCACAAGGGUGUUGUGUUUGAUCCUUGAGCUGCUCGCGCAUGGCAUUCACAAGGUGGACAAGCCAAACUGUGUUGCCAAACGUCUUUAAGUAAAUCUCUGUGUGUUGAAACUGGAGAUUAUGUGUAGCCAUUUGUUUGAACAUAUCUCUUGGUGAGGUCGAGGGCGAGACACAACCAAAUUCCUUCAGAUGCUCAUGCGCGGAUCUCACCUGCAAGACCACUAAACCCUUGGAAACUAAGUGUAUCUAAACAGAUUCAAUCAAGAGAUUCAGCUUCAGGAUAUUCAAUACACAUUCAUGUAAUAUUACUCAGGGACGAAGCUAACUCGCCUUUAAGUUCUUGUCAGCUCAUAGUCAAAAAACAAAACACAUGAAGGAAAACGAUUAAAUAAAUUUAGUAAAAUAAAACUACAACCGAAAUUUUCUAAAUGAGUCAAUUAAGAAAAUUUUGAGAUUUUUUCAGAUUAUUGUUAAAACUACCAAAACGAAAAUAAUCAUAAAAAUAGAAAAAUGAAGGAUUUCGAUUGUUUUGGGUGGCAAUCUCAUAAAUUUUUCUAUAAAUAGAGGCUUUUGAUUACUGAUUUUUCCUAUGAAUCCACAAAAACUCGAAAUAUGAAUACUGAGACAAUUUGUUUUAAAACAGAUUUUUUUUCCAAACCGCAAAAAGACCAGACCGAACGCUAAGAAGUUAAGCAAAAAUGCUAAAAAAUACACUUAUGACUAUAAGACGAUUAAUAUAAUCAAGAAUCCCCGACAAUACGGGGCGCAAUUUGAUCCGUUGGCGGCACGGGAUCAAAACGAGUAGUUUUUCAAAAAUGUAGUUUAGCGACAUAAAUUGACUCGGAUUAUCGUUUCUCACAAGGAUUCUUGAAUGACUUAACCAAUGAUAGUAAACAAUUAAUGGGGUUUUGGUUGGUUUAGAUUCAAUAAAAAAAAUAGAUUAAAUAAGUGAUUUAUUGAAUACAUGUUGUAGCAACAAUUACUGAUUCGUCUUUGCCUAUCAUCGACUAUCGUAUUCUAACCGCAGAUUAACUAUUCCUAUUCGAUUAUAUAUCAACUGACAGCGCAAUUGAUAGUAUAAGUUGUAUGUUCUUUAUCCGAAUUAAGCAAACGGGAUAGUUUCAUGAAUUAGCAAACAUGAAUUAAACGGACUCGAUAAGAAUUAAGCAAACGAAAUCGUGACUAUAGUUAGGAUCACACAAUCAAUCGAUUAAAUCAAUUAAGCAUUAUGUAAUCGGAUUAGCAAACAAAAUACAUAUAUUAAUAUUUAAAGGAAUAAAACCUGAAUAAGAUUACUAAAAAUCUCAAGGUAUCGGAACCCGAAUACAGCAAUUGUUUGGAUCGAUUAGUUCUUCAUGAGAUUCUUGCCAAGCUUUAAGUAUAUUCGUGAAAUAGUCAUUUCCGUUAGCGGCUGCUAGGUAUAAAUGGAAUAAAAGGAUGAAUUUGGUUUAAACCCAACUGGAUCGAAACCAUAACCCACACAAAACUAUGACCCAAACCUUAAAUAAACUAAUGCUGCACUUCAACGACUUUUCUGCCCUGCUACAGUCUGACUCGCUCUCGAUCUUUGAACAAAGUUGUAGACUUUUUCUUAUCUUCCAUCGACUGGUAGCACGUCUCAAUCCGAUACUCCUAGCUCAAGAUAUGAUUUUUCUCGGCGAAAGCUGCAAAUGCUGAAAUUAAUAUACGAAAUAAAAAGUGCAAAAAUAACAUAAAUUAUGAAAACACAUUAAAACAUAAAAAUAAUCAAAGCAAACCGAAGAAAUGCUUAAGUACAAACAUGAAAGAACGUGCAUCAAAAUGCACUGA